GCGCCGGUGGUGUAAGGCGAACAUCGCUGCCCGGAAAGCAGAAGAUGCGGGUUCGAGUCCCGCCUG
rnacentral:tRNA from 1 species